GACGAACGCUGGCGGCGUGCUUAACACAUGCAAGUCGAACGGAAAGCGCUGGAAGCUUGCGGCUAUCAAUCUUAGUGGCGAACGGGUAACUAACGAGUAACCAACCUGUGCCUCAGAGGGGACCAACAGUUGGUAACGAUAACUAAUACUGCAUACGCCUUAAGCACGGUAUGGAGGGUAAAGGAACGGUGGCCGCUACAUGUAUGCUAGCAUUGAAGGAGGGGAGUGCGGUUGAUUAGUUAGUUGGAGGGGUAACGGCGCCGCAAGGGGAUGAUCAGUAGCCGGUCUGAUAGGAUGAACGGCCACAUUGGGACUGAGACACGGCCCAGACUCCUACGGGAGGCAGCAGUGGGGAAUCUUCCGCAAUGGACGGAAGUCUGACGGAGCAACGCCGCGUGAGUGAUGACGGCCUUCGGGUUGUAAAGCUCUGUUAAUCGGGACGAAAGGCCUUCUUGCGAAUAGUGAGAAGGAUUGACGGUACCGGAAUAGAAAGCCACGGCUAACUACGUG
rnacentral:rRNA from 1 species